CUAUACGUUAGAGCAGCACUUUGUGCAACCACAGCCAAUCUCAAAAUACCAUAAAUAACUGUAUAAUGAUAAACAGUUACUGUAUUCACUAAUGCCUUACAGAUAGAGAUUAUUAACUAGGCAGACUAUAGCACAACUAAGGAAACAAUCUUGAGUUCCUAUCAAAAUUGUAAACAGGCUCUACUUUCCUUUUGUGAAAAUUCAGUUUGGUUAUCACUCAUCAAACCCAUCAUACAUUCAAGCAACUGUUAAAGGAACUCACUGCUACUUCAAAAACUACUGAAAGGGGAAAUUAUUUUGAUUGCAACACCAUCGUUAUCAUUUCAGACAAUCCCAGACAGCAGGGAAGGAAACAAGAAAGGUUCAGCUCACCAACAAAUGAAGGGAAGAAGGAAAAACAGGAGCAGAAUGAAGAAGACUAGAUAGCAACUGGAGCAGGAGCCCCAAGAUACAUCUGAUCAGAACUGCUGAAUGUCAACAGAUGCCAGAUGCUGUCCAUAAAAAGCCAUCUCCAUCAGAAAGAAUCAAUACUAGAAAAUCUCUAAAGUCUUCCUUACAGAGCAUAAACAAGUACAAUUGCUACACAUUGAACUUCCAACUGCUGCUCAAAGCAUGCAAUAUUACAUACAUUUGUAAAAAUGGCAGUAACUUGGAAGUUAUAAUUACCAUCCUCUACACUGUGGAAGAUUUGGCAUCCCAAAUACGUCUAACCAACAACACCAUUUUUAAACAGUAUCUCUCAAAGGCAAAAGAGCCAAGAUGUAUCAAACCAGUGUCCCUUCUAGGACAAGAAAUCCUAUUAUUAAAUCAAGCACACAGAUGGUCCAAAAAGCCUUUUUCUACGUGUUUUAGACCACCAGAUAUACCUUCUGUAAAUCUGUAUGUAACUGCAUACCCUCAGGGAU